rnacentral:rRNA from 1 species
CCUACGGGAGGCAGCAGUAGGGAAUCUUCGGCAAUGGACGAAAGUCUGACCGAGCAACGCCGCGUGAGUGUUUUCGGAUCGUAAGAAGGAGAACUCUGUUGUUAGAGAAGAACAAGGAAAAUGUUCAUGAGAGUAUCCCUUGACGGUAUCUAACCAGAAAGCCACGGCUAAGUCUACGCC